AUACCUUUCUCGGCCUUUUGGCUAAGAUCAAGUGUAGUAUCUGUUCUUAUCAGUUUAAUAUCUGAUAUGUGGACCAUGUGCCCACAAUGAUAUUAAAUUUAUUUUUUGUGGGGGAGGAUCCAUCACACUAGCUUGCUAGUGAGGCUCUCACGUGUCGCCUGGGCGUUGCACUAGGCCUGGCACACCCCAACCAAU
rnacentral:snRNA from 1 species